rnacentral:tRNA from 1 species
GGCCGUGUAGCGUAAUGGUUAACGCGCUAGUUUCCGGUGUUCAUGAUAUCGCUAAGCUAGAGAUUCCGAGUUCGAGUCUCGGCAUGGUCG